rnacentral:rRNA from 1 species
GCGGUUAAAGAGGAGCCCAUGAGAUAUCAGCUAGUUGGUGUGGUAAAGGCGCACCAAGGCUAAGACGUCUAGGCGGAUUGAGAGAUUGACCGCCAACACUGGGACUGAGAACUGCCCAGACUCCUACGGGAGGCUGCAGUCGAGAAUCAUUCGCAAUGGGCGAAAGCCUGACGAUGCGACGCCGUGUGAGCGAAGAAGGCCUUAGGGUUGUAAAGCUCUUUCGCUUGGGAAUAAGAAAAGCCGGCUAAUAUCCGGCUAAUUUGAACGUACCAGGUAAAGAAGCACCGGCUAACUCCGUGCCAGCAGCUGCGGUAAUACGGAGGGUGCAAGCAUUAAUCGGAUUUAUUGGGCGUAAAGGGCGCGUAGGCGGAGACAUAAGUCAGAUGUGAAAUCCUGGAGCUUAACUUCAGAACUGCAUUUGAAACUGUGUCCCUAGAGGGUAGGCGGAGAAAACGGAAUUCCACAAGUAGCGGUGAAAUGCGUAGAUAUGUGGAAGAACACCGGUGGCG